AAUCUUGCAUGUUUGUAAACCAUUUACUUUAAUACAAUCUUGUUCGUGCAUGAUUUGAGUCACAAGAUGGCAUACUGUGAGGUAAAGCAAAACAGUAUUAUAUUUAAUCUUAGAUUACGUGCAUUGGGAAGUAAUACAAACAACAUUUUCGUUGUAUUUUCAGGAUACUUGUGUUGCUUUACAAGCUUUAGCUAUCUUUGCUGGAAAAGCUUACGGAUCCAAUGCUGACUUUAGAUCAACUUUGUUAUCAGGAUCAUUGAAGAUGGGCAACUAUUAUAAACAUGACUUUAGUAUUACACAGGAAAACAAACUAACAUUACAAAUGAUUGAGUUACCAGCAAAAAUAGUUCCUGGAAAACUGAACAUAUCAAGUCAAGGCAAAGGUUGCGCUUUAACACAGGUUUCAUUGAAGUAUAAUGUACCAGAACCUGAAGAUGUUCCAGCAUUUGAAAUCAAAGUUAAUGUUCGUACUCGACGAUCUUUACCAGAAGAAGCAAACUCAGCUUGUUAUCCACUUAAACUUGAAAUCAAAGUAAAAUGGUUGAAAGAAGAUGUUUCCAAUAUGGCCAUAGUCGAUAUCAAUUUGGUGACUGGGUGCAGCGUGAUUGAAGCUUCUUUGAAGAGGCUGCAAGAUGAUAAAAAUUUGAACUUCAAACGUUAUGACAUCGAUGGACAAAAUGUUCAACUUUACUUUGACGAGGUUUGUCAAAAGGUUUGGUCGAUCACCUUUAUCAUCUGAGAUAACAAUUAUUGAUUUUAAUAUUUGCAGAUAAAGAAUAUUACUUUCUCCAUUAAUAUACACCAAGACACUUUGGUAAAAAAACUAAAACCUGCAGUUGUUAAAGUUUAUGAUUACUAUGAACCAGGUAUGGAGUAAAAUAACGUCGUAAUAAAUGUUCUUAAUUUGAUGCAUUUGCUUUUUGUUAAUGUAGAAAAUCAAGCAAAAGUUAUGUAUAAGAUAAGAGAGGCUGAUUGCUAUGGAAA